rnacentral:hammerhead_ribozyme from 1 species
AUCUAGCUGACGAGUCUAAAGUAAGACUAAACACGCGCCCUGGAU